AAGGAAUAUUGGUCAAUGGACGGAAGUCUGAACCAGCCAUCCCGCGUGCAGGAUGACUGCCCUAUGGGUUGUAAACUGCUUUUAGCAGCGACGAAACGCCUUCAUUUAUGAGGGUCUGACGGUAUCCGCAGAAUAAGCACCGGCUAACUCCGUGCCAGCAGCCGCGGUAAUACGGAGGGUGCAAGCGUUAUCCGGAAUCACUGGGUUUAAAGGGUGCGUAGGCGGAUAUUUAAGUCAGUGGUGAAAUCUUGUCGCUUAACGAUAAAAUUGCCAUUGAUACUGAAUGUCUUGAAUUGGGUUGAGGUUAGCGGAAUGUGACAUGUAGCGGUGAGAUGCAUAGAUAUGUCAUGGAACACCAAUUGCGAAGGCAGCUAGCUGGGCCUUGAUUGACGCUGAGGCACGAAACCAUGGGUAGCGAAC
rnacentral:rRNA from 1 species